UCCAGGCCAGGUCAGGUGCCCUCCUCUGUGUUGCUUUGGCCCCUGUACUUCCCUCUCAGCUUGGACUGUAACUGAGAGUGAAUGUCUACUCAGAGUCUCAUCAUACACCAUACUGUAUCAAGGCUCUGGACCCCCCAAAACAAAUGUGAUGUUCCCAACAGCAAGCAGAAUUCCCAGCACACACACCAGCACACGAAAGAAAGAAAGUCAACCAUGUUAUCGCUGGCGAAAUCAUUCAGGACUAUUUGAUCUAGGAAUGAAAAUCAUCUCUCUACAGACCAUAUCAAGGCAGAUCAUCGACUGUUCAAAAUCUUUAUUAGCCUUCACAAACUUGGAUCAAAAUCUUCCAUAAUCUACAAAGUCCUACUUGAUUCAUCCCAUGUGGCCUCCACAACAGACUUGACACACUCCACCCCCAGCUAGAAGGCACAGAAGGGAGACACUGAACUCAAGUCAGCAAUGAAGCUCAGACCGAGGCUGUUCCUGUAUACCUGCAGCUACUGGGGCUGUGCACCACUGCAGAGCACUCCUCUCUAUCCUGACAACUUACAAAGGGGAGGAGGCUGCACGUGCCACAGUGAAUGUAUGGAGGUCAGAGAACUUUCAAGGUUUUGGUUCUCUCCUUUCACUGUGGGAUCCUGGGAUCGAAGUCUGGUGGCUGGGUCUUCAAGGCAAGCACCUCCGCCCAGUGAAGGAGGCACCACUGCCAUUCUCAGAGAUGAAGAAAGUGAGUCUCUGCUCAAAGGACUUGGGUGACGUGUCCAAGGCCACCCGGUUGGAAAGACUCCCAGCCUACACUGGCUGUCAGCAGGCUUAGCCACAGCCAUUCUGACUAUGACACACAUUCAUCAUUUUCUGAUAAGGAGUUUUGUAAGGCUCCCCUGAGGUAAUCCUGGAAGAUGCAUGGCAGAAGGGAGGGUGCUCAGUUAGGAAUAGUUUUUGUUUUUAAAUAUAGAUUUGAAGAAAAAUGUCAAUGAACAUACACCAUAAAGAGGCAUACAGUGUGCCUAGUGAAAGGGAAACAUUAAAGGGACUUUCAUUUAAAGUAUACUUUAGCAUCAUGUUAAUUUUGGGGGCUAUUGUUUGCUUGUUUGUGUGUAGUGCUAAGUUUGAACCUUGGGACUCAUUCUUGCCAGGCAAGUACUCUGUCCCUGAGCUGCCCCGUACCCCGAGGAUAUAAAGUGAACAAACGAACAACAAACAGUUCUUAGUUUAUUAUUUCACUUUAUUUUGACACAAGUUCUUACUAAGCCAGCAAGGCUUAGUAAGUUUUUUAUACUGGCUUAGUCCGUUUUUUAUAUUGUGACUAUCAAGGAGGAACGACAAGAGACCCCUCUUAAAGAGAUUGUCUUUGAGUGGAAUUAAAUGACCUUCCUACAGACCGUUCCCUUGCCCUCCUAAACGGAAGAGUCUCCUGCAGGGACCUAAGAAUUCUGAAACCUUCUUGGUAGGAGUAAGGAGCAGGCAUUUUUGGAGAUCCCAGGAUCCCUGAGAAGAGGACUGAAUGAUAUUAGAAUAUGAGAAAGGGGAGCAAAGUACCCACAGGUCUUUACCAAGGAAACUUGGACUUGGGACUCAGAAAUCUCAGGUGGGAACUGUAUGAUCCGUUAGGACCACACCCCCACCCCUGAGCAUUGUAGCCACAGCUUUCCACGGAGAACCUUCUGUUCAGGGGACCCAGAAAUAAAUUUCCCUAUUCACACAUACUCCUAAA